rnacentral:rRNA from 1 species
AUUGAACGCUGGCGGCAGGCCUAACACAUGCAAGUCGAACGAGUGGCGGACGGGUGAGUAAUGUCUGGGAAACUGCCUGAUGGAGGGGGAUAACUACUGGAAACGGUAGCUACUACCGCAUACCAUCAGAUGUGCCCAGAUGGGAGUGGCUUGUUGGUGGGGGAACGGCUCACCCAGGCGACGAUCCCUAGCUGGUCUGAGAGGAUGACCAGCAACAGUGGAACUGAGACACGGUCCAGACGCCGACGGGAGGCAGCAGUGGGGAAUAUUGCACAAUGGGCGCAAGCCUGAUGCAGCCAUGCCGCGUGUGUGAAGAAGGCCUUCGGGUUGUAAAGCACUGUCAGCGGGGAGGCGUUACUCGCAGAAGAAGCACCGGCUAACUCCGUGCCAGCAGCCGCGGUAAUAC